rnacentral:lncRNA from 1 species
UUUUUUUCUUUUCUAAGUUUUGUCGUUGCCAAUGGUUGAUGACUGUGGUUAGACUUGGUGCCGUUGUUGUGCUGUUGAUGAGCUUGAUGCUGGUCCCUUUGUUCAUUUAACGUGUAUCUAAAACUAUGAAUGCAAUUUAGAAGCCAUGAACACCUCUUGUGUUUAGUAAUCCGUAUACGUAAUCAUCUCACCUCUUGUGUAUAUGUAAUCUGUAUAGUUAAUGAACUAAAGGUUGUACUUUUGGUCCAUGUUUAUGUGUGUAAUCUGCGUCUGAGAACUCUUAGGAAUGUAAAGUAUAGGAUUCGAGUUUGUGCAAUGUGUUGUCUUGGCUUGAAAGUUUGAUGCUUGCUUGGAUGUUGGUUUCCUCUGUUUGACAUGAAACCAGAAACUGAUGGAAAGUUUUUUGAAUAAACCUGGAAUUUGCAAGCUUUUCCUCAUUCUAGAUUUUCCUUUCUCU